CCUACGGGGGGCUGCAGUGGGGAAUAUUGGACAAUGGGGGGAACCCUGAUCCAGCCAUGCCGCGUGUGUGAAGAAGGCCCUCGGGUUGUAAAGCACUUUCAGUGAGGAAGAACGCCUGGUGGUUAAUACCCAUCAGGAAAGACAUCACUCACAGAAGAAGCACCGGCUAACUCCGUGCCAGCAGCCGCGGUAAUACGGAGGGUGCGAGCGUUAAUCGGAAUUACUGGGCGUAAAGCGCGCGUAGGUGGCUUGAUAAGCCGGUUGUGAAAGCCCCGGGCUCAACCUGGGAACGGCAUCCGGAACUGUCAAGCUAGAGUGCAGGAGAGGAAGGUAGAAUUCCCGGUGUAGCGGUGAAAUGCGUAGAGAUCGGGAGGAAUACCAGUGGCGAAGGCGGCCUUCUGGACUGACACUGACACUGAGGUGCGAAAUCGUGGGUAGCAAACAGGAUUAGAUACCCGGGUAGUC
rnacentral:rRNA from 1 species